rnacentral:rRNA from 1 species
UGAGGAAUAUUGGUCAAUGGACGCAAGUCUGAACCAGCCAAGUAGCGUGCAGGAUGACGGCCCUAUGGGUUGUAAACUGCUUUUAUGUGGGAAUAAAGUGGCGCACGUGUGCGCCAUUGCAUGUACCUCAUGAAUAAGGACCGGCUAAUUCCGUGCCAGCAGCCGCGGUAAUACGGAAGGUCCGGGCGUUAUCCGGAUUUAUUGGGUUUAAAGGGAGUGUAGGCAGUCUGUUAAGCGUGUUGUGAAAUUUAGGUGCUCAACAUUUAACUUGCAGCUCGAACUGUCAGACUUGAGCACACGCAGCGCAGGCGGAAUUCAUGGUGUAGCGGUGAAAUGCUUAGAUAUCAUGAGGAACUCCGAUCGCGAAGGCAGCCUGCGGGAGUGUUACUGACGCUUAAGCUCGAAGGUGCGGGUAUCGAACAGG